GUGUUCACUUAAGCACCACAUAUACUAAAGUUGGAACAAUACCGAGAAGAUUAGCAUGGCCCUUGCACAACGAUGACACACAAAUUUGUGAAGCAUUCCAUAUUCCU